UAUAAGCGCUACGCGCCGUAGGUAAAUCAGAAACACAGGUGGAUACAACUUGAGUUUUGACAAGUAUACUAAAAAAUGCGUCUGUCAUAUCUAUCGGUGGCUUUUGCCAUGAUCUUUGUUAUGGCAAUUAUGCAUGUAGAAGCAAAACCUCUUUCUGAAGGAGAUGGAAUGAGUGAGGCCGAUCCAUUUCUUGGUAUCGUCGGGAAAGUGCUAGGAAAAGUUGCUAAAGCAGUGGCUCCUAGCCUCGUGGGAUAUGCUGCAGAUAAAAUAGGAAAAUAAGAAAUGUGUACAGGAAACUAUAAUUUAGUUGUACAUAAAUAAUAAAAUUAUUUAAAGGAGAAAUACAAGUUGCAUUUGUAUAUCAAUUGUAUUUUCGUUUCUUUCUGAAAUAUAAAAAGAAAAUAAAAUCCUAUAUAUUUGCAUUAUAA